rnacentral:rRNA from 1 species
ACGGGUGAGUAACACGUGGGCAACCUGCCUGUAAGAUCGGAAUAACCCCGGGAAACCGGGGCUAAUGCCGGGUAAUACUUUCUUUCGCAUGAAGGAAAGUUGAAAGAUGGCUUCUCGCUAUCACUUACAGAUGGGCCCGCGGCGCAUUAGCUAGUUGGUGAGGUAACGGCUCACCAAGGCGACGAUGCGUAGCCGACCUGAGAGGGUGAUCGGCCACACUGGGACUGAGACACGGCCCAGACUCCUACGGGAGGCAGCAGUAGGGAAUCUUCCGCAAUGGACGAAAGUCUGACGGAGCAACGCCGCGUGAACGAUGAAGGUCUUCGGAUCGUAAAGUUCUGUUGUUAGGGAAGAACAAGUACCGUGCGAAUAGAGCGGUACCUUGACGGUACCUAACGAGGAAGCCCCGGCUAACUACGUGCCAGCAGCCGCGGUAAUACGUAGGGGGCAAGCGUUGUCCGGAAUUAUUGGGCGUAAAGCGCGCGCAGGCGGUUCCUUAAGUCUGAUGUGAAAGCCCACGGCUCAACCGUGGAGGGUCAUUGGAAACUGGGGAACUUGAGGACAGAAGAGGAGAGUGGAAUUCCACGUGUAGCGGUGAAAUGCGUAGAUAUGUGGAGGAACACCAGUGGCGAAGGCGACUCUCUGGUCUGUUUCUGACGCUGAGGUGCGAAAGCGUGGGUAGCA